rnacentral:lncRNA from 1 species
GUCGUUGUCGCGUUGUCGCCCAGCUUCGGUAGUCAUUACAUUUUUGCAGCUGUGAUCUCAAUGCGUGCAGUUAAGUUUAAAAAGUAAAUGCGAACCGCAGUUGGAUGCCAUGGCCUUUGAGCCGCGCUUGCGUGCAAGACCCGGAGAAAGUACAUCGUUGGAGUAGAAGAAAUAAUGAACGCCUUUGAAGUCCUUAUCGCUCUCGCUUUCGUGGCGAUGAUUUCUGCCUACCAUGAACCUCCGUGUGACUCAAGUAAGCACGAAGUUGAAAAGGAAGUGUCAAGCAGUAAUUGCCCGGAGAAGAAUUGCACACGUGGUAAAUCAAGACCACGGCGCUGCAAGCGGAACACAGCUAUCCUGUGCGUUUGUCCAGAAGGCAAGUGUCGAAAUGGUGAGGAUCUGUGUGUCGCCGAGCGCCAAUCCAAGGUUGCCUCACAACGGCAGAUACAACGAAUAUUGCCUCGUCAUUCACUUCUGACAUCAUAAUAAGGACACUCUGCAAGCUCUGGAUGGGCAACCAUUGUUCUAGUAUAACCUGCGAUGUAUACGUCAUAGCCAAACAACCUGAUUUACAAAAGAGGAAGUCCAUGAUUUAAGAUUCUUAGAAUUGAUCGCUAGAAUGAGACGUAGUUUACGGCAUCAUUUAGCGACACUGUACAGACUGUGUGUCACCAGUUCCCGCAAGACAUAUAUCUUACAUGAUAAUUUGAUUUUGUAUAUUUAUCUUCACAUCUGAAUUUACAUAUUGACUCAUGAUGUGACGCGCAGAUCGUCUGACAGUUUUGUGCGAAUUAUCCCCUACAAAUUUCUUACUUGACUGAGUUGUUAUAAAUAAAGGAGCAAUCAAGACGUACAUGAGAGCAAACAGCAGCGUUGCUUUCCUUUUUUGCAACAUAUUCGUACUUGUUUGCGUUCCAGUUCAGUGUUUCUAGAAGAAAAAACGAAACGGAAUUUUUCUUUCAUUUUCGCACGAACCAGCAGUGCGAAUCACGUCAAGAUGGCCUCGCAAGGUUCGUAGUAUUUUCCUACAAUACGAGCGAUCAUGGGAAGUAACUCGCUAACGGAUAAAGCCUGGUAGUUAAAUUCAAAUACACGAACAUAUAUACACGCAAUGAAAUAAGAACGAUUUUGUUGAACUGGUUAAAGGCAAGGAAAUAGUGGAGAAUGAAAUAUGUAAGUAAGUGGUGCAAUGGUCAUGUUUUGCAUAAUUUUUUAUAUUCUUGCGGUCUCGUGGUAUUUUUAUAUACCACGAGGCAGCCGAGGCAUAAAUGUUAAGCUAAGGAAGCAUGUUUAAUGACUUAAACAAAAAUCAAAAACAACAUACGUGUAAGCCUACGCGUUUCCAUGUUUACAAGUGCGCGUCAGUGCUCGCCGAAACAUGCAUCUGAUUUAAACAUAGUAAAACAAGUUAA